ensembl:snoRNA SNORD115 Small nucleolar RNA SNORD115
GAGCCUAUCAUGACAAACCAAUAUGUCAGGAAUAGAGGUGAUGACAUAACUAUUAUGGUCAAUAGGAUUACUCUGAGGCCC